rnacentral:lncRNA from 1 species
UUUCCUUCAUUUCAACGUAUUGUGUUAAAUACACCAAAGCCUUCUUCGCUAAGUUCUUUGAAUUUUCUUUUGUUGAAGCUUGUAUGUUGAAGCUUUCUGAGUGGAGCAUGUAGGUUGGGGUAGUGUUCCCUUAAUUUUCCGAGUGAGGAAAACUUCUCGAUUGGAGACUUGGAAAAUCCAAGUCACUGAGUGGGAUCGGCUAUAUGAAUCUUAGAACGCCAUUGUGCUCGAUCCUGUGUCAUGUCCUCCGUUAGAUCCAAGUACUCUAAGUCUUUUCUUAGAGUCUCUUCCAAAGUUUUCCUAGGUCUUCC